rnacentral:rRNA from 1 species
AGGACGAACGCUGGCGGCGCGCCUAACACAUGCAAGUCGAGGGAGAAGCACCCUUCGGGGUGUGGAGACCGGCGAACGGGUGAGUAACACGUGAGGAAUCUGCCCUGUAGACCGGAAUAACCACGGGAAACUGUGGCUAAUGCCGGAUAUUCUUUUCGCUCCGCAUGGAGCAUUGAGGAAAUGGUCAGCCGCUACAGGAUGACCUCGCGGCCUAUCAGCUUGUGGUGGGUAACGGCCCACCAAGGCUACGACGGUAGCUGGCGUGAGAGCGCGAACAGCCACACUGGGACUGAGACACGGCCCAGACUCCUACGGGAGGCAGCAGUGGGAAUCUUGCUCAAUGGGCGAAAGCCUAGAAGCAGCGACGCCGCGUGGCGGGAAGAAGGCCGUUCGGUGUAAACCGCGUUUGAGGAGGAAGAGCGCAAGUGACGUACCUAC